UACGUAGGGUCCGAGCGUUGUCCGGAAUUACUGGGCGUAAAGAGCUCGUAGGUGGUUUGUCGCGUUGUUCGUGAAAACUCACAGCUCAACUGUGGGCGUGCGGGCGAUACGGGCAGACUAGAGUACUGCAGGGAGACUGGAAUUCCUGGUGUAGCGGUGGAAUGCGCAGAUAUCAGGAGGAACACCGGUGGCGAAGGCGGGUCUCUGGGCAGUAACUGACGCUGAGGAGCGAAAGCGUGGGAGCGAACAGG
rnacentral:rRNA from 1 species